rnacentral:tRNA from 1 species
UUAAUAGAAGCCAAAACCCCGCGGCUGUUCACUGUUAAUGAACUUAUUGAUAAUUCCUAUUA